GCCCACGUAGCUCAGGCGGCAGAGCACUUCCUUGGUAAGGAAGAGGUCACCGGUUCGAAUCCGGUCGUGGGCUCCA
rnacentral:tRNA from 3 species